ACCUACGGGGGGCAGCAGUAGGGAAUUUUCGUCAAUGGGCGCAAGCCUGAACGAGCAAUGCCGCGUGAACGAGGAAGGUCUUCGGAUCGUAAAGUUCUGUUGAAGGGGAGAAAGAGUGGAGAGAGGAAAUGGUCUCCGAUUGAUAUUACCCUUCGAGGAAGUCACGGCUAACUACGUGCCAGCAGCCGCGGUAAUACGUAGGUGGCGAGCGUUAUCCGGAAUGAUUGGGCGUAAAGGGUGCGUAGGCGGCCUGCUAAGUCUGGAGUGAAAGGUACCGGCUCAACCGGUACAGGCUCUGGAAACUG
rnacentral:rRNA from 1 species